rnacentral:tRNA from 1 species
AAUGGAAUGCCUGAUUAAAGGAUUAUCUUGAUAGGGUAAAACAAGUAGAAAGUUUCUACUUCCAUUA